rnacentral:tRNA from 1 species
AAAAUAAUUUUUAGUAAACUGUAAAUUUGCUUUUGGAUGAUUAAUUCUUUAUUUUA